rnacentral:rRNA from 1 species
GAUGGGAGCUUGCUCCCUGAUGUUAGCGGCGGACGGGUGAGUAACACGUGGGUAACCUGCCUGUAAGACUGGGAUAACUCCGGGAAACCGGGGCUAAUACCGGAUGCUUGUUUGAACCGCAUGGUUCAAACAUAAAAGGUGGCUUCGGCUACCACUUACAGAUGGACCCGCGGCGCAUUAGCUAGUUGGUGAGGUAAUGGCUCACCAAGGCAACGAUGCGUAGCCGACCUGAGAGGGUGAUCGGCCACACUGGGACUGAGACACGGCCCAGACUCCUACGGGAGGCAGCAGUAGGGAAUCUUCCGCAAUGGACGAAAGUCUGACGGAGCAACGCCGCGUGAGUGAUGAAGGUUUUCGGAUCGUAAAGCUCUGUUGUUAGGGAAGAACAAGUGCCGUUCAAAUAGGGCGGCACCUUGACGGUACCUAACCAGAAAGCCACGGCUAACUACGUGCCAGCAGCCGCGGUAAUACGUAGGUGGCAAGCGUUGUCCGGAAUUAUUGGGCGUAAAGGGCUCGCAGGCGGUUUCUUAAGUCUGAUGUGAAAGCCCCCGGCUCAACCGGGGAGGGUCAUUGGAAACUGGGGAACUUGAGUGCAGAAGAGGAGAGUGGAAUUCCACGUGUAGCGGUGAAAUGCGUAGAGAUGUGGAGGAACACCAGUGGCGAAGGCGACUCUCUGGUCUGUAACUGACGCUGAGGAGCGAAAGCGUGGGGAGCGAACAGGAUUAGAUACCCUGGUAGUCCACGCCGUAAACGAUGAGUGCUAAGUGUUAGGGGGUUUCCGCCCCUUAGUGCUGCAGCUAACGCAUUAAGCACUCCGCCUGGGGAGUACGGUCGCAAGACUGAAACUCAAAGGAAUUGACGGGGGCCCGCACAAGCGGUGGAGCAUGUGGUUUAAUUCGAAGCAACGCGAAGAACCUUACCAGGUCUUGACAUCCUCUGACACCCCUAGAGAUAGGGCUUCCCCUUCGGGGGCAGAGUGACAGGUGGUGCAUGGUUGUCGUCAGCUCGUGUCGUGAGAUGUUGGGUUAAGUCCCGCAACGAGCGCAACCCUUGAUCUUAGUUGCCAGCAUUCAGUUGGGCACUCUAAGGUGACUGCCGGUGACAAACCGGAGGAAGGUGGGGAUGACGUCAAAUCAUCAUGCCCCUUAUGACCUGGGCUACACACGUGCUACAAUGGACAGAACAAAGGGCAGCGAGACCGCGAGGUUAAGCCAAUCCCACAAAUCUGUUCUCAGUUCGGAUCGCAGUCUGCAACUCGACUGCGUGAAGCUGGAAUCGCUAGUAAUCGCGGAUCAGCAUGCCGCGGUGAAUACG